rnacentral:tRNA from 1 species
GCCUGUAGCUUAGUCGGUGGAGCGACUGGCUCAUAACCAGUUGGUCGUCGGUUCAAAUCCGGCCAGGCC